rnacentral:tRNA from 1 species
UGCGGAGUAGAGCAGUGGUAGCUUGCAAGGCUCAUAACCUUGAGGUCGUGUUUGGUUCGAAUCCCACCUCCGCAU